rnacentral:rRNA from 1 species
GGCUCAGGACGAACGCUGGCGGCGUGCCUAACACAUGCAAGUCGAGCGAGGAGAUCCUCGGGAUGAUCCUAGCGGCGGACGGGUGAGUAACACGUGGGCAACCUGCCUCAUAGAGAGGAAUAGCCUUCCGAAAGGGAGAUUAAUACCUCAUAACAUUGCAGUUUCGCAUGGAACAGCAAUUAAAGGAGUAAUCCGCUAUGAGAUGGGCCCGCGGCGCAUUAGCUAGUUGGUGAGGUAACGGCUCACCAAGGCGACGAUGCGUAGCCGACCUGAGAGGGUGAUCGGCCACAUUGGGACUGAGACACGGCCCAGACUCCUACGGGAGGCAGCAGUGGGGAAUAUUGCACAAUGGGGGAAACCCUGAUGCAGCCAACGCCGCGUGAGUGAUGACGGCCUUCGGGUUGUAAAGCUCUGUCUUCAGGGACGAUAAUGACGGUACCUGAGGAGGAAGCCACGGCUAACUACGUGCCAGCAGCAGC